GACGAACGCUGGCGGCGUGCUUAACACAUGCAAGUCGAACGAUGAUGCCCAGCUUGCUGGGUGGAUUAGUGGCGAACGGGUGAGUAACACGUGAGUAACCUGCCCCUGACUCUGGGAUAAGCGUUGGAAACGACGUCUAAUACUGGAUAUGACUGCCGGCCGCAUGGUCUGGUGGUGGAAAGAUUUUUUGGUUGGGGAUGGACUCGCGGCCUAUCAGCUUGUUGGUGAGGUAAUGGCUCACCAAGGCGACGACGGGUAGCCGGCCUGAGAGGGGGACCGGCCACACUGGGACUGAGACACGGCCCAGACUCCUACGGGAGGCAGCAGUGGGGAAUAUUGCACAAUGGGCGAAAGCCUGAUGCAGCAACGCCGCGUGAGGGAUGACGGCCUUCGGGUUGUAAACCUCUUUUAGUAGGGAAGAAGCGAAAGUGACGGUACCUGCAGAAAAAGCACCGGCUAACUACGUGCCAGCCGCCGCCGUAAAAC
rnacentral:rRNA from 1 species